AUCCAAAAAGAUUCUUUUUGAUGAUUGGGUAUUCCUGCCACUAUGUGACACGCGCCUCCCUCAAAUCCUGCUAUGGCCUCGGCACGUUACCCACACGUGAAA